rnacentral:lncRNA from 1 species
UUUCCACCGGCCCCUUUCGGUUCUUCAAGGUCGGGUUGUCGUUCAUCGUCUUGAUCCGGUUCUCAAUCUCCACCAGCCGGCUUCCGAAUCUUUUGAACGCAUCCAACGCCUUGGCGUCUGACGUCCAUCGCUCAGGCUCGUCACGCUGGCCGAGGUACACCUCGUCGGAGGAGUGCUUGGAGAGGAUCUCGAUGAGCGAGAUGCCCAGGAUGGUCUGGAACUGGCUGGUGAUGGUGCGGAUGAACACCUUGUCGGCCUCCUUCUGCCCCGCUUCCAACUUCUUGUACUCAUCGCUGCCCGGCUCCGGCAUCGGCCGCCGGCUCACCGUCGGCCGGUUCGGGAGGUACCCGGCGUAUGGAUACUGCCCAAAGUUGACAGCUGCGUGCAGCGCAGAUGCCACCCAGAUGAUGGUCGUGCACGACCUAGCCAGCUGCUGGACGGUGUCCAUCCUGGGCCACCAGUCUCGAUCCUUAAGGUCGCCGUGCGCCUCCUCACGCACCUCCUUCCACCAUGCCUGCAGCUCCACAUCACGCUGGACCUCACCGUCGUUAGAGUAGUAGACAUCCAAGUACUCCUUGACCCACCGCUCAAUCGCCCACCAGAUCACGAGCCCAUCAACGGCAUAUGGAUAGUCCUUGAUCAGUAGUCGGACACCAUAUGGGCUUGACUGAUCCGGUACAGCCACACCUCUGAAAGCACAACCAGAAGAGUAAACCCGUCAGAAUCAAACAGUUUUUAGAAGCUCUUCUGCAUUACCAUCUCGUCAGCUCUACUGCUCAAUGUAGUAUGCACGUACCUCUUGACGAGAUCUGCGGGGAGAGCCUGCUCGUUGAAAUUCCAGCUCUUGUACACGUCGGAGGACAUCUCCAGCGCGUAUUUUCCAGGGAACACGGUGCGCUCGAAGAUGCCACCGGCGUUGAUGAGCGUCUGGCGUGCCAGGGCGUUGAUGUUCAAUGUGUCACGGUAGUGUGGGCUCAGCAGCUUAUGCACAGGAUGCACCACACUGAGCUGCCGGUUUGUUGCGAUCGCGAACGGCUCGAUCACCGCGUGUGUGUUCAACCUGCAAACACACAUAGACACAAGAUUGAUGUUUCGGUAUCUCCAUACAUAAAAAAAAAAUACCAGAAACAUUUAGCCUUUUUUUUUGCGAGAACAUUUAGCCGUUUUGGUAGCAACAGAACAAACUAAGGAAGAACUCCGUACCAGUGGCUGAUCAGCUGAUGCCAGGCAGAGUCGUUUACGCAGGCGUAAGCCUUGGCAAGUUGCCAGAUGUGACCCUCCACGCCAGUGUGAGCCGGGGUGUACACCUUGCUGACCGCACCGUGCUGCAGACCAUCAGGGUGAGGCAGGCUCAGCUCGAUGGCCAGGGGCUUCAGGGUGCCAUCGUCCUUCAAGAACAGUAGGGUCCUGCUUGCAUAGAUGAAGUUUCCCUCCAACUUGUUGAUCUUGUUGAGGUAAGGCAUGAAACUAUCAUGGUGGUCUAGGAUGAAGAGCCUGUUGUUCUUCAGUGCCUGCACAGGGUUUGUUAUGGCAAUCAAUCGAUGGUUUUAAGCAAUUGUUUGUAUUGAAUCUUUCAGUUAUAUGUGCAUGUGUUCAGUCCAGCAUACAUUCUGCACCGACAGGCCUUCCAGGUUAUGCUGAAUGUGAGCUUCAGUGAUCUUGCUGGUAUGGUCCCCAUAUUGACUUGGGUCCAAGGUACUUUUAGCAGGGAACUCCUGAGAUCAUGAAAAAGAAAAAUUUUAAAGCUCUUUACUCAGUUAUGGGGCAAGUGUAUUUGCCAAUUCAUAUGAUGCAAGAUGCUAACCGUCAGACGUUUGAUGAUUACUGGGUUCACGCCUGCAAGUGUCUCUCUCGCAAACUCUUCAUCAGUCCUCCAGCCAAACUUGAACUCUGGAGCCUUUUUCAAUACAUCUGGUGCAUACCAAGAUUUAGCCUUAGUCAUGGUACAACUUUUUAGUUCAAAAAUCGGAUUAACAUAGAAAAAUUGUUCAGUUACCUGAUUUGAUGAUAUUUGGAAGGGGCAUCUUUAGGGGGUGGUCAUGACUACCAUUUGGCAGAAUACUUCUAAGGAACUCACUGGGGAUUCUCUUCCUGACCUCUGCUACUAGUGGAUUGUUGGGUGCUUCUGGACCCAGUUCAUAGAGUCCGAGGAUAUCUUCGAAUGAAUCAAACUCCUUUGGUGUAUCAUCGACAAAAGUCCCUAAUGUUGGAAGAACAGCCUCAACGAUUGCCUUCAGUGAGUACCCAAGGAAGUCUGACAUCUUGAGAUGCCCAAAGCGUUCAUCACGCGGGACAUAGAUGUUCAGGUUCAACAGGAAAAGCCUGCUCUCUGAAUUUGGGUCUGCAGAAAAAGUUACCAACAAGGAUUUCAGCCAAAAUUUCUGACAUCUUGUAUGGACCAAAAUGUAGCUGACUUGAACUUACCUUUUUCUGUUGGGUGCCGACCAGUUCUGCAGCGACGGGGAUAUGGGUGUUGGCUGCCACCAAGGAUCGGCCGAGCAUUGUCUUCACCCUUGUCUGGGUCACCAAGGUCAUUGUAGUAGUCAUAACGGUAGACGCGAUCAUGCUCCUUGUAUGGUCCAGGAGUAUCAUCACCACGGAGAAUCUUGAGUUCAUCUUGCCGAUAAGGAACCAAAGCCGCAGGCAUUUUGUUUGGCAGAUAGGUCUGCAAAACAGGAAUAGAGUGACUGACCUGUUUUUCUUUUAGAUAAGGGAACAAAGUUCCAGCCUCUACCAUCCACCGAUAGUACACAGCUUAGAGUUGAGAAUACAAAAAGAAGCCACAAGGCUUCCAAAGCACAAGAAAAGAAACAAAAUACAGCAUCUGCCCAGCUAGUGAAGCUUAGGACUAUUAGCUGAUAGGUCUGCUAAUUUUCCGCAAUAUCAUAUGAGAGGAGAGAAAAGGCUAUAUUGACUUGUGUUCUAGUGUUCUCUGUUGGGUGGAUCUAGUACCGAUAAUAUCCAGAGAGGAAAACUACAACAAUAAAAAUAACGUGUUGUAAAAAAACAAUACAAAAACAGUGAGUAAAGUGAUUUUUUUCCACUCAGCAAAUUAUCAAGCCAUGUCAACCAUCAUGAGCCACAUAUCUCUCCUGCAUGUUCGGAAAAAAAGAACAUUCUUCUUCCCAACUAAAUGAUAUGCAGCUCUCCUAUGCGUUUGAGAAGAUAGUGCAACAUGAGGUAAUUCAGACUUCAGGAUGUUCAAUUUGUGAUUGUGUGAUCGUAACCGGACUGAACCUUGUAUUUAUUUCUCCUUCUUUUGACUAUCAAGAGAGAGUUAUACAAGACUUGAGAUAUUGCUGCUGAUAUCUAUCAACCAGUUCUGGAUCAACAAAUGCGCACCAUGGAUUCUUUCAAAUAGCUUUAUUAAGCAGCACUACUUGGAGAUACUUUAGUCAUAUGCUACUAAAGGUAGUAGAAAGUUGCUGAUCAUGAGCAACUUGCUGUUUUAAUCUAAGGCAAUCAGUAGAAAACUCGUUUAGCCUUGUCGAAUAGAUGAGGCAAGCGAAAUGUUUUAUCAUCCACGUGGAAACAAUCAGUGCCUAUUUUUCUAAUGUCUGUGUCAGUGAUAAGACAACGUUAGAUACGAUUUAUGGUGAAGCCAUACAGAAAUCACACAACAAUUUACUGUAACCGUACCUUGUAGCUGCAGUGGCAACAAGCACAGCCGAACACUUUGAUUGCUGCCGGCUAGCCGUAAUGUGAGUGAUGAGUGUGUGGGUGCGGGUGUUGUGUUCGAUAGUACUAGUAGUACUUGUGUACAGAUAGCCCAUGGCAAUGAUUGUCAAUACAGUACGGUCAUAUGUGGACUUGGCCGGAAGACCAAGCUGGCCAAUUUGGCAGCUAUAGUAAACCGGUGUACCCAAUCCAGGUGAACAAUAAAAAAAAUGAGCCAAUAGCAGAGUACUUAUUCUAAUCACGGCUCUUUGCACUUUUCACUAGAUAAUGCGUAGCAUCAAGAUCUAGGUACAGCUAACAUGGUACUGUACUCUACAUAAUUCAUACAAAAGGCUUUUCGCUUUUAAAAUGAAUAGUUGUUCAGCAUCCAAUCCGUGGUCCCUAACCACAUUUCGUUGCAAAUAAUCUUAAGAUGUGUUUAUCAGAAGCAAGUGUCUUUUUUUUGGAAUUUGAUCAAUAAAGUACUUUUUAGUCUUAGCAGCAAAAUGUAACCCUCGAUUUUCAAUGGCUAUAUAAAAUUGCAUCAUAGUCUAUAUGUGAAACUAUCAACAAAUGUUGCACAACCACCACUAAAACCACGCUUCAGUUACAUCACUAGCAUAUUGAUGUGCGCAUAACACAAGAUGUUCCGGCCUUGUUUACUUCCAAAAAAAUUUUGCAAAAUUUUUUACAUUUCCCGUCAUAUCGAAUCUUUAGACGCAUGCAUGGAGUAAUAAAUAUAGACGAAAAUAAAAACUAAUUGCACAGUUUGGUCGAAAUUGACGAGACGAAUCUUUUGAGUCUAGUUAGUCCAUGAUUGGACAAUAUUUAUCAAAUACAAACAAAAAUGCUACAGUGUCCAUUUCCCAAAAUUUUUUGGAACUAAACAAGGCCUUAGUGAUUUUCGCUACACAGGCCGUCACAAUUCUUUCUUUCCUUACGCACGAUCGUGAUGCAGCAGCAGCAGCAGCAACGGGACCAGCGAAGGCAAAAACGAAGGACUCAGAUGCCAUCAUCAGAAUUCAGAAAAAAGGAAUAUAUACUCACGUCGUUGGCGAAGAAGAUGCGUUCCUGGGAGUAGAGCUUGUGCGGGUAGAUCCAUGAGUUGGCGACGAAGACGACGGUGCCCCCCUGCCUGCCGGGGACGCCCUCCAGGGUGAGCGUCUUGAGGAAGAACUCGGCGUGCUGCAGGUUCCUGACGCGGACGGCGCCCGGGAUCCCCUGCGACUCGUCCCAGUCGAAGUUCACCCGGAACACCGUCUCCCCGUCCACCUUGGACUUGAGCGACACCACGGCCUCCUCCAGGUGCGCCGCCCUCCCCACCUUGCCACGGCCACCAUCGCCUGCAAUUUUUUUCGUUUUUAAUCGAUCAAUCAAUUCAAUCUAGUAAAAAUCAUAUUUAGUAAAAAUUCAAUCCUCCAGGUGUUGUCGCUUUGCUUGCAGUGAAAAUUCUAUCUAGUAAAAAUCAUAUGGACAUUGCGGUGAAAAUUCAAGUAAAAAUUUCGACGGGUCCUAAACGCCUGCAAGUCUCGAUCCAUGGUGGGAGUGGAAUAGUAGCCCCCAUCGACUUUGCGACGGUCCCGCGAAGCAGAUGGUUGAAGGAGUUGCCGUGGAAGCCAUAACGAAUGUGAGGUUCCAUGUGUCCUGUUGUGCAAAACGCGCCAUCGCAUUGAAUGACCCCCAAGGCCCCAACAACUCUUCCAUGUCAUGUCCGGCGACCAUGGCCCAGUUCAAACUUGAAACUGCAAGACCUGCCACGGCAAAACGCCAAACCCCCCAUCCCUGUCCAUGGGAGCAGUUAGCUGUUCCUCGCUGCGGGUCCCACAUACCAGCGACCCGACUCACGGCUCGCGGUUACUACGCCUGACGAUCCUGUCCCCUGCCUGGCUGUCUGGGGUCUGGCUAUGCCACGCCUGGUUUAGUUUCCAAUCUAAUCUUUUAUAUAUAUAUAUAUAUAUAUAUAUAUAUAUAAAGUAUAAAUAUAGACAAAAAUAAAAACAAUUUGUAUAGUUUACUUAUAAUUUGCGAAACAAAUCUUUUGAAUCCAAUUAUUCUAUAAUUAAAUAAUAAUUAUCGAAUACAAACAAAAAUACUACAACAGUCAAAGUUAAAAAAAUUUUAGCGAACUAAACAAGACCUCAAUCAUUUAAGAGUAUUUUUUCACGUGACAAUAAAUCUACCAAUCAUUUAACUGAUGUUUUUCUCACCACGAAUCAGCUGAGUAGUGCUUUUAAGCGUGACCUACAGUCAGGGUGGACGGUGAAUGGGUGGUCACAGACUCGCAGUUUUUUCUUUGCUGUACGAGCACAAAUUCUACAGAUUUCAUCAGCGUAACAGCGUUGAUUGAAAUUACUAUUGAUGAAAUGUUGCCUAUCCUACAUAUAUUUAUUAUAGAAAAAUAGGAAAAGGGAAACCGAAAUGGCCUGCGAAACGCACGGCGGACGCAUGACGUACGUUCCGGCGACGGCCAGCGAGCGCGCGCCGCCGGCGUCACGGCCCGCGGCCACCGGGAGCGGGAGCGGGGCGCGCGUUCAGUAUUGAGAUACGCAAGGGGGAGUGGGGGCGUGAGGGUGAGGCAGGGGGCCGCGCUUACUGGGGUCGGCCGCGGUGGCGCUGACGAGCUGGAAGGCGACGCCGUCGUCCCAGCCGAGGAUCUUGUGGACGCCGUCGAGCAGCGAGGCGUUGAAGUCGCCGACGUCCAGCACCUCCUUCUUCACCAGCUUCACCGUGCCGCGGAUCUUGCCCUCGUUCCACGCCUCCUUGUUCUUCCCCGUCAGCCGGUCCGCGACCCCGUGCCAGAACAUGGCCGCUCUCUCGCUCCUCGCUCCUCAGGGACAGGGAAAGCCGGCGGCGGGCGCGGCGCAGCGCGGUGGCUGGUGGGUGGAUGGCUUGCCUGCUCGCUCCCUCGCCUGCCAAUGUGAUGUGCCGCCAAGCAAGGCAAGGCAAGGCAGGGUUAUGGAACUGCGGCUGCCCUGCGCCGCAAUAUAUAGGCGGCCGCGGCUGCUGCUCGACUCGGCUGCUCUUUACUGGUCACUGCUCUUGCCAGCGAUGAAGGCGACAGCGACAUGUAUACGAAAAAAAAAGAAGAACAAGAUGAUUGAUGAUGACAAUGAAAAACUAAAAAAAAUGCGGGGAUUCGGAUUGUAUGGUAGGGUAUGGUAUGGUACACGUCGGCAUCACAGGAUUUGGGGAUCGUGCGGCUUUACCAUGGCAAUGGUGAUUACAAAACCAUCAGGCUGGGGCUGGCGGCUGGCCCGGCCACAUGCGCAUAACGGGUCGCCGGUGCCAGGUCCACGCCGAGCCAGGCAGCAUCGCGCAGGUGCAAGCGAGCGAGAGCCCGAGCUGACUGUCCAAAGCGCCGGGACCGAACGAAACCGCGGAGACGCGGUGGAAACCCGCGGCCUGCUUCGCCGGUCAACCGGGUCGUGUCUCGUGUGGUGCUAUUUGCCAUGUCAUGCGCUGAUGCGCAUCCGCCCGGACCGGCCCCGGCAGCGGCGGCUAGCGCACGCCGCCUCGGAGGGCGAUGACAGAGACAGACGAGACACGUCGUUGCGAGUGCAGACCCCGAAUCAGACUUCAGCGGUCAAGAACGUACUGGGAGUCGCGUGCAGAAAUCUUUACGGAGCUGGGCUGUCGUCGCCGAUCAUGUGGCCGUGAUCGUACACGGGCGGUCGCGUGCCGUGCUUAAUGUUGUUUUUGUGAGUGAGUGGUGUGGUCCUGGAAUGAAACAGAACCGGGGGGGGGGGGGGGACAGGGACUGGACAUUUACGGGUCUUAAUUGCUGGCGUUGAUCGUCCCGGGAAUGAUGACAGUGCAUUUGCAUCCGCCGCGAUCACGGAGAUAGACACCGUGUAAAACUCGACAAGAAGCCAGACCCCACUCGGGCAGCGGAUUUAGUUGCUGCACAUUUCGCCAACACUGAUUGGCAUGACUGUUUAACGGUUGAAACGAUUGGCAUGGCAGUUUAGCAGUUGAAAAAAAUUAUGUGGCAAUCUAAGAGAAAAGAAUAAAUUUCUUUUUUUCUUUUUUUUCUUUUUUUGCUACGAAAGGAUCUGAACCGCACUUAGUUGCUUGUAUAACUCAACUUUAUACUUAACCAAUUGGGUUACGUUCACUUUCUAAUAAUCGUUUAUAAUAGUUGAAAAAAAUAGUACUAAACUGUUAACCCGUGAAUAUGAGAUGUCGUCAUCAUCUGCAGCAGCUUCCUCAAUCCCCGUCGCGUCGGACCUCAGGCUCAGGCAGCAGCUUCCUCAAAGAUCUGCGGCAGCGGUUCGAGACGAGUCAGUAUUAAUUAACUAACAAAACGGCAGGUGCUUCGCGUGCUAAUCGAGGACGGAUCGUACGAGGGAGUGAUUAAUUCCACGGGAUUACAAAUUUGGUGAAGGCGAGCCAUCGAAACGGGGCAGUAUACAUUUCUGCUCCAGAUGUCUUUGCUUGUAAACCAAGUUCAGAAAAGGCGCGUUGGGUGACAUUCCGGGGUUUGAAUUGAGUGUCGUCAGGUCAGAAUGCAAGAACAAGUCGAUAGCGGUUUUUCAGAUAGGAGAAGAUUCUUCGCCUGGUCACACUAGAUUUUUCUGACGGCUUGCUUGACGCUAUAUGGAGUACUAUAGUACGUCUCUAUAAAAUACGCACUCCACUCCUCCCUAUAUACUAUACAUCCAACUACUGCUAUCCUAUCGAACUUACCAUAUUAUAUGCACAGCUGGAUCAUACGCACUACAUUUUGGACGAUUGGCAACUUGAUCGAAUUUAAGAUAUACCUAGUGUCAUGUACACUAGGAAUACUCUUCAUACUGCAGAGAACGGCAUAUGGCCAUAUUUUACAGCUUACCGCUCACGUCAAACGAACUAGAUAGGCAUGCUAAACGGGCUCCAAAUUCUGAGAAUUUUACAAUGCAUUCCCUCCUGGACGUGAUGGGGACGUGAACACGUGAGACAUUGCAAUCAAAGGGUUCGACACCGUAGUGAUCAUCGAAACGCCCACAGCAUGGGUUCCGCGCCGUAGUGAUCAAUUGUCCGUUUGUUUCAAUUUAGUUAGUAUUUCAGUUAUUAUAUCAUCAUCGUGAUCCGCAUGGCUUUAACGUUUAGUACUUAUUCUGAUCCUGAUCACAUAUAUAUCCGGAGAGCUGACAGCUGAGCGAUGAUAUACUAAUUGGAUUGAACCUCAUUCCAGUGGGGAGAGAGAGAGAGAGAUCGGAAAAGAUGAUUUCACUUAGACUUGUUCAGUUUUUUUUUUUUUUUUGCAAAAUGGAUAUGUAACAUUUUCGUUUGUAUUUGACAAAUAUUGUCUAAUUAUAAACUAACUAGGCUCAAAAGAUUCGUCUCGCAAAUCACAGAUAAACUGUAUAAUUAGUUAUUUCUUUUAUCUAUAUUUAAUUUAUAAAUACCCACAGUUCUUCUCUAAUGUGAUCUAUAGAUACCCGUGGUUCUUCUCUAAUGUAUUUUAAUGAAUUAAAUAUACAAUUUUUCUAUCAUUUUUUAUUUAGUUCAUUUAGUUACACUGAAAAAGAACCGCAGAUACCCCGUUUGGAGCAUCGUCCCAAGUCCAACACCAUAAUGAUCAUCGAAACAGUCCGCGCCGUAGUGAUCAAUUGUACUUUUGUUUCAUUUAGUUAGUAUUUCAGUUCGGAUCGAAAAAAAAAGUAUUUCAGUUCGGACGAAAUGGGUCUUUCCAUCAUCGUGAUCAGCAUGGCCUUAACGUUUAAAACUUAUUAUUCCUGAUCACAUAACCGGAGAGUUGGGCGAUGAUAUAAUAAUUGGAUUGACCUCCUUCCAGGGGGGCAAAGAAUGGAAAAGGUGAUUUCACCUUUUUUUUGGGUGCCUUCCAGGGACAGUGGGGACUAAAUAAAGGGAAAGCAACGUGAAAAGGAGAUAAGGCUUUUUAUGAAGGAUUAUAUGAGUGUAGAAAGAUGAUAUGAUAUUUAAAAAUGUAAAACAACAAACAUACAAUUAUAUGGAAACAGCACGCAGUAAAAAACAACAACAACUAAUGGACACAUCACCAAACGCACGCACUCUAGCAGGUAGCUAGAGACGACAACUCAUUCGUGAGAUUAACUACAUAUAUUGACCUGUCUUUUAGUGAUUUGGAUGCGUUGGAUGGAAUUUGCAACCAUAAGAAAACAUAACCAUACUAAACGCAAGGUGCCAAAAGUUGACGGAUUAGUCAACUGCUAACCGCUGCUUCGGGACGAUCAGAAACCACUGAAAAAUCUGAAAGGGAAUUUAGUACAGCACUGCACUUAUUACUACCAACGUACGUAGUAGUAUACUAGGCACAGCUUCACUAAACACGUGUGGAACAAAAUGAACAAGGAGUAUAUAUAUCACAGCAUCUAAUCAUGACAUCUGUUCCAUUUAGCAUUAUUUGUCGCUCUGUGCAGCACGCAGCAGUGGCACAUUAUCAGCUUCACCCACCACGCCCGCCACGAGGGUCGACGGCGACCUAGCCUGCCGCGCCAGCCUGGCUCGCAGCUGCAGCAUGCCCCCCUACGCCCAGGAGCCGCUUCUGAGAACGUACGUAGAGUGUGUACCACUGUAUCUUGUGUUAUCAAAGUAUAACUACUACUGUACGGAGUAGUUUAGAGUUUUUGACUUCGUUAUGAUCUUCCGUGAUCUUCGAUAAGAUUCCUUCUUUUUAUAUGUAUAUGAAUAUGUAUAUGUACAUACAUACGGAGUACAUACAAAAAAAAAUCUUCCAUGAUGCGCCUAGCUGUGAUUAAAACUGGAAUCAGAAAGCCAGCGGUUCUUUGUCUCUGGCGAAGAGGUGAUGUCUGCGCUGCUUGCUCGACUGCUUGCACGCAGCGAAGCGGUGUUAACCAGGCUGCCGGCCAUUUAGUUGUUUGGAUUUUGUUGUUUGGAUUUUGUCGGAUUCACCUCAAUCUAUAUCUGUUGGAGUGGACUAGAGUGAAGUUUAAUUCAAAUUCUACUUCAAUUCAUCUCAAUACACGUGGAUUGAUUGAAUCCGACUAUAUGCAAACAAGGCCUAAAAUGUUCUUUGUGCUCAGGACUACUGUGCUCAAGUCCACGUCUGCACCUGGAUAACUCAAAGGCUGACGACGACUCGUGGGCUGAGGCGAGCCACCGAGGUCUCUCCGUCUCGGCAGAUGCUCUCACGAGUCCAUCCAAAUCUCCCGCAGUAGUAGGCCUUGUUUAGUUCACCUAAAAAGCAAAAAGUUUUCAAGAUUUCCCGUCACAUUGAAUCUUGCGGCACAUGCAUGAAGCAUUAAAUAUAAACGAAAGCAAAAACUAAUUACACAGUUUAGCUGGAAAUCGCGAGACGAAUCUUUUGAUCCUAGUUAGUCCAUAAUUGGAUAAUAUUUGUCACAAACAAACGAAAGUGCUACAGUACCAAAAUCCGAAAUCUUUUCGGAACUAAACAAGGCCGUAGUAGUACGUGUUUACCUUAACUGAUUACUGUACGUCCUUACCGAAAAGUUCGCAGAUUUAUAGUGGCCUUAUUUUUCAGAUAAGUCUCCUGCGUGAUGCAUGCGGAUCAGCACAGGCGCCAACCAAUCCGUAUUCAGUAAGCAGUCGCCAUUAGGUGAAGGUCUGCAUGAUUGCAUCUACCACUUUUUUUUUUUGAAAAAGAUUGCAUCUACCACUUUUUUUUUUUUGAAAAAGAUUGCAUCUACCAGUUUUUUUAUAAGGCAUCUACUAGUACAUACCGCCUCGAGGUCAACAGUUUCCACUGCCCUGAUGAGUACUCUGUUUUUUUUUUUUUUGCUCGACUCCACUGCUGGUGUUAGGAUCCUCAAAUCAUUUUCUCCCGUUAUUAAUCAACUUGAUAUUCUUGAUGUGCCUAUAAAUAUAUUAGCAUUACUCUUAGUUUCUGAGUAAUGGCAUUUACAAUGCAAAUAAUUUUUUUUUCCGCUAUAGGCUGAAAUAGUUGAAGAGAUCUUUUUUUUUUGUAUGUUAUCAAUUUCCAUGUUAUUGAAUUCGUCAGUUUGCCAAUAAUCUUGUUCAAUUUCAGAUCUAUAUAUCAUCAUCAACCAUGCUUGCCAUUUCUCCUAUCAUGUUUUUUUAAAGAUAGUUUACUUUUGAUGCCGUUACAUAUUUGUAUUGCUUUUAAAUAUAAUAAAAAUGUUUAGUUUUAUGUACCUUAUAUGGUAUUCUUGACUCUGAUAUUGACCACUCAGUUUGUGGUACAAAGAUUCCAUCCAGAUCCUUAAGGCUCGUACUUUGUGUUAUUUGUUUAUUAAUAACAAUGAUUAUUAUUUAUUAAAAAUAUAACAUAACUAAAUUGAUAAGCAUAUACAAUUUUACAUCAUUCAUAUUUCAAUUAUCAUCUGUGUCAAUGUUUGCUUUUCUCCCAAUGCAAGUCUGUCUCCUAUAUUGUGAUAGAUUGUUGUUGGCUUUUACGGGUUGCUGUUGUUUGAUGGGUCCUUUUCUUAUUUUAGUUUUUGGGUUGUACUGUUUUCGUUGGUUGCACAAAAAUUACAAUAGAUUUUGUCUGUGUGGGCCUCUUUUAGAAGUCCAUUGUUUUGGAGACAGCCAACAACCGUGUGCUAUAGCUUGUUAUAAAUCACACAAUUUUUUCUCUGUUGUAAACCAUGUAUUUUGUAGGCAACCAACAACCAUGUGCUAGUUUGUGCUAAAACACACGAUUUUUUCUCUGUAACAAAUCGUGUGUUUUGCAGUUAGCAAACAAUCAUGUGUUAGAUUUUGCUAAAACACACAGACUCUAAAAAUGCUACUCUUGCUGAGCAAGGUGAAGAUUUGUGUGUAGACAAUCAACGAUUUAAUGGAUAAUAAGAUAAAGUGCUCAGAGAAAAUUUCAUGAAACAAAAAUGAGCAUAGAGAUAACCAAUCACCAGACGACGAAACUUUAUCCAUUUGACGAUCAACGCUUAAUUUUCACGCACACUACAGAAAGUACUUGUUGUAUGACCUGUGAACCGUCGUGUCAUGCUAUCAAACAAUCUAUGCUAUGACUUUCUCACGCACAUCACAAAACAACCAGUUGCUUAAUUGACUUUGCUUGGAGAUGAUCUGUGGACCAUCCACGCCAUAGCACUGAACCGUCCUCGCUACGCGAUCAAACCAAUCCAAAGGUCUUCCUUAAAAGAAACCAAUCCAAAAGCUCCUUCUCAAAACGGUUAAGUCAGGACUAUCUGCCCUAACAGAGGUGGACAGUCUACAGUUAACAAUCAGUUAGCCCUUUUCAAAUCUUUCUUUUUGCAUUUUUCAAGCGUCACUCAUCUCUAUACAUGCAAUGGAAUCACUUUGCAAAUUGGCACUAGAGAACCAUCAAAUAAACGAACACUAAUAACUCUUGGUAGUAUGACUAUCUAGUCUACUAGAAUAACCCAGUCAUAUUUCAUCAUCUAAUUACCUCAUGAAACCUAUCGCUUUACCUUUGUCUUAAGCUAACCAUCAUAUUUAUACACCAUAUAUGACAUCUUAUGUAACUCAUUUUUUAAGUGGGCCAAUCUUCCUUUGUAAAAAAAAACAUGGUCAUUAUUUACACAAAAAAUGAAACAACUUAGGGACCUAGAUACUUUCAACUACCUCUGGUCAGUAAAAACCUAUGAUAACAAACAUUAAUAACCUCUGAUCUUAUACUUUCAAUACGUAUAUAAGUUAUAAGUUAUAUGCGUUGAUUUGUUCCAAAGAUUUUAGUUAGAUAUACGUAUUGAAUACCACGUGAAAUCAAAGUUGUGACCGAGGAAGUACAGCGAGACUAGGAAGAGAGUACUCCAACUCCAAGAACAAGAAUCUUAAAAUGGGGAGGCUAGCUAGUGAUUGCAACAAUCACUUCAGUUAUUACAUACGUGGUAGUAAUUCGAUUCACCGGGCCACACGAUUACACAAAAACACACUAGUAGUUAUUACACAUGGCGUCGUGCACACGACUGCUUAUUCAUGCAUGUACCAGCUCGUACCAAUCGCUCAGAUGGAGAUGCUGUUGGGAAUGCCCUUGGCGGUGAGCCCAGCGGCGGCGCCACUGUGGUCAGAGGUGUUGGGGUACAGCAGCAUGUAGGGGAACUCGGCGGGCCCGUUCCUGUUCUUGAGCUGCGGGUCGCGGUUCUCGCCCACCACCUUGCCCUCGAUCGCCACCAGCGCGUCGCUGAACCGCUUGAACGCCGCCUUCGCCUUGGCGUCGGAGGUCCACUCGGGGGUGUCGCGCUGCCCGAGGUACACCUCGUCGGAGGAGUGCUUGGAGAGGAUCUCGAUGAGCGAGAUGCCGAUGAUGGUCUGGAUCUGGC